AGGGGACACUGAGCAAGGCUGUUGUAAAUGCUUUGGAGUUUUGGCUGUAUCUCUCAGUUUAUGAAACAUGAAGUAGGAUGUGACCCAACACUGAUGGGUACUUCUGGACUCCACUGUGGCAUAACUAUGAGAAAAUAACCAAGAGCUGACUCGUGGUAUCAGCUCCCGCUUCAGGUGGCCUGUUCUGUUUUGUUCUUUUCCUGCUCUUCUCUCUCCUCCUGUCCUGGCUUUACCUCCCUGUCCAUACUCGCUUUGGCUUCCCGGUAAGACCACUUGGCUCUUUGCCUUUGCUGCUGUGGGUCCUGCAGGACCACCCUUGCUGCUUGCAGCAUCCCUUCCAGCUCUUAUUUCACACGAGCCCUCACAGCUCACCUUUCCCAGUUGCUAAUCUCAUGCUCUUGGCACACCCCCUGCUUCUUAAUACUUAAUACUUCUUAAUGCACCUUCCUUCCCAUGACAUCUGUGCUGCUUUCGCUCCGUAAAAGCCUCCCCCCGUGGCCAUUCCCAGUGUGCCUGCCUGAGCCUGCUCCGCACCACAAACAGCCAAUCCUGCCCUGCCACCUCCUCAGUCAUUUCUGGAUCCUGCCUAUCUGUUCCUCUCCAGCCACUCCAUCCCAGGGUGUUCCCAGCUCUGCCUCCCUACCUGCCAUCUUACUUCUUUUAACCAACUCAUUUCAGCUUCAAUUUCCAGAGCAACCCUCUGCAGCUGCUCUUCUCAUCAGUCUGCUCUUCUGGUCCCUUGGGAAACCUCCUGCUCAUUCUUCCUCCUCCUGCGUUAGUGUCUCCUCUCACCCCCAGGGUUUGUUCCCACCACGUCAGUGCUUGUCUUCUGCUGCCACCGUCCAGGUGCCACAGGACCUUCUGGCCCCACAGAUCUCACGUUAUACGCUGACCAGCUGCAGUCAAAGUGCACAGAGUGGCUAGGGCUGGACUGGUAGAUCAAAAUCCUGUUAUACUUUCUCUCUUCAGGGUCCUUAGACCAGAUCCUUAGCCAGAUCUUCAGAUGAGGUCUGGAUGCUGGUUGUGGUACUUGGGAGGGAGUAUGGGCUCUCUAAGAGAUGGCCGGGUCGCCUGGGAGUGAUAGGGGUGCAGCCGGUGUGAGGGAUGUAGUGUCAGAGGGUGGAGAGGGGCUUCGCUGUGCCUGUCACAGGCAGGUUCGGCUGUGUCACCUCAGUGACGUGUCCUGUGGCAGCAUUGCCAGCAGCUGGCCUUGGGUCGGGAAAGAGCAGCCCUCGGCAGUGAGGAGACUGAACUGCUCCUUGACUCCCAUACCCCACGGGAGCUUCAUGUCCCCCCACAGACCUUCAGCCCUUUCUGAGCACACAGCCAGGAGCCCUGCAUGUGUGUGGAAUUGCCGUGCCCUCCUUCCUCUUCUCCCCCUGCACAGAUGCAGCCCACCCUAUGCUCUGCCUGUGAACUGCAGGGCAGAACUGUCAAAACCACCUCUCUCAAAAAUAAUCUCUGCUUCAGAGGCUGGAAAAUGUUUCAGCUCAUUUUCAUAUGCAGAGCAAUGCGGUGGGUGUCUGAAAGCAGCUGAGGCUGAGGGGGUGGCCAGGGAAAGGCAGCUCUGACAUGGCAGGAAAGUGUGGCAGCUGGGGAACACGAGAGGAAGGACGGAAGGAAGGAAGGACAGAAGGAAGGGAGCAAACUGAGAAGGAGAGCUGGAGGCAGCAGACAGAGAGUUCAGGGCAGGAGAGGGUUGUACAGUGUGGAGCUGUUCUCUUUUCCCUGGCAUGCCUACUGCUGCUCGUGUUCAUUUAUUAGUAAUUGGAAAAGUGUCUCUGCUGCUACAGACAGCAGUUGCAGAGCUUUCUAUAUCAGAUAACUGGGGAGGUGGAGCAUAUAAUCAGCAACAAGGCAGCUUGUCUCUUUUUUUGUCUUCUCUAAGUUCCUUUCCCUUCUUCUUCAUACCCCAUUUUCCUUACACAUUCCAGCCUUAGGAAAAUCCUGCUUUGUCCUGGUUCUGCAAUUGCUUAUCAGAAUACCAGGUGAAAAACAGAACUUACUUGUCAUUAAGACUUCAGUUUAUGUGGUUUAGUUUGCUCUACCAGUCUGAUUGCCAGACAGAGCAAGUCCCAUUUGGCUGGCAGCACUGUGUUCCUCCCUGGCCCUACAUGAUACUAACCCCAGUUUCUGUAUACGUGCAUUUUACACAGUAUUGCUCAUGGCCCUUUUUCUCCAGAGCGGUUGUGGCUGUUCCUGAGUCACUGCAGUUCCAGUCCUGCCAUGCCUUCUCAGCGCCGUUCAAUGGAAGGUUUCAGAGGCUGUUAGCAGCACUGAUGUUUGCACUGCUGCCAUUGGAGGCAGUCUGGUGAGGGGAAAAAAAUACCUCAAAGACCCCUAAUGAAGCCUGGGGCAGUGACUUAAUGGCAGCUGCAUUUCAAGAGUUCCUCUGAUGGGCUAAAUCCUGGAGGUAGGAGGGAGAUGAGACGGUGAUAUGGCCGGGGUAUCUCAUGUGACGUAUCAAUACUGUAUGGAAGUCAGCAGGGACAGCUUCGCCUUUCCUCCUAACACAGGUACUGAAAAUGCAGAUACUGGGCAGAAGGAAAGAGGGUGUGAUCCUGCAGUUGUUGAUCCCAGGGCAGUGAACUGUUUUGAGCAAGGACUGAAAGGCGGAAUGUGAAAGAGAGAUCUCCACCAGAACAAAGCUUGCAUCCAGUUUUCAAGAAGCGCUCCUGAAGACCAUCUUCAUUUGUUUUGUGGUACCAGUUGUAAAAGAAACAUUGAUGUCGUAACAUCUGUGUGUGUGCAUGUGUUUGUUUUGCAGCUGGAACAGUUUUAACUAUGAGAAAACAGCUCCAUCCUGCUCUAUGCUGUCAGGAUCAUGCGCUUACCAGGAACUGUCUUCAGAGCCCUUCCAAAAAGGGACAUUUCCAGCAUCGAUGUGUGAGGGGAACAGAAAGCAGCGAAUGAGGUUCAGGGGGUUCUUGUCACCCACCUUAUCAAAACCUUUUCCACACGUUUUCCGCGCAGUUGUUCUGCUUGUGUAUUCAGGCUUCCACUGCAUGUACCUGGAUGCACAAGCGGUGGAUGCCGUACUCAUGGGUCCUGCUCACAAUCAGCGAGCACUGGCUGGGAUGAGUGCUGAAAUGUGAGGACAGGAGGAAGUCCUUUGGCUUCCUUGGUCCUCAGGAAGCUUUGAUGUUAACCUCACAUCCAGGUCAACCUCAUGAGACCAUGCACGGGUAUAAGCUGUAAUGUAUAGCUCUCUGGAGCAGGUAACAUCCAUAAUUCUCCAGAAAGCUUUGCCUGCUCCUCAGUCAGACUGCUUCUAGAGGAGAACUCCUGGGAACUCCUAAAGCUGAUGUGACACCCCCUUCUCCCCCACCCAGUAUUUUCUGCCCUGUGCAGGCUGCAUUGUCACACAUCGUCAGUCUCAUGUCAUAGUUUGGAUCUGUUUCCUUGCAUGCAGUGAAUUAAAGGCUCAGGUUUCAUGUAAGAGCAACCAGAGGCGUUGUGAAUGCUUGCAGUCAUAGUGAAAUCAGUGAUACACCAUCCUGGUCGGCAUGCGUAUGGUCGGCAAAGCUGAGACACUAACAUACAUAUAUGUAAAAUAAGACUGUGUCUGGAAAGCAUCUGUUAAAUAAAGAAACAGCAUAGCAAUCUAUGCUGAGGGAAGCUUUUAUGGAUCUGAAUUAGGAUGCCACAGAUGACACAGCAAAGCCACGUUUUUUAGGAGCAGACCUAUGUGUGGCCCUACACACACAGACCCCUCUCCCCUCUUUGGGAUGACUAUUAAUAGCACAGGGGCUGGCCAUCCCAAACUCCAAUGGUGUGCAGGUCUGUUUGGUUACUGCAGAGCUGUGUGGCAACUCUGGGUGAAUGCCCUUAAAUGAGCCUGCUGGCACUGGUGUUGGGAGAGCUCGAGGCUUUAGAAACUUUUGGGUCAAAUUUACUCUUGUUAAAUAAACAAUGAGUAUUGAUUAGAUCAUAUGACAGACCAACCAAGCACUCUUUCAAAUACCGCAGCUCAUUUGAGUUCAUUUUUAUGUAUUUAUAUACUCAGAAGCCCUUGAAAUAAUUGCUUUGGUGAAAGAAAUAGUAAAUGUUUUACUCAUGUAACUCUAUAUACUUUUAUAUGCACAGCCGCGUACACACGGAUAGGAGGAUUUUCGAGGCUGCUAAAAGGAUUUGGAUGCUCACUUUGUUUGGUUUAGUUGGAGACUUGAAUCCCUUAGGCAGAUUUGAAAAUCUCAGUCAUAAUUCUUUGCUUAUUUUAGUACAUCAGGGCAAGACCUUUUCCCUGUUAAAAUAAUUUCUAAGUACUCCUUUCUUGCUGACAUAAAAUAAAAAUGUGUUUAAGCGGAA